GGGGACGACAUUUUCAAUUCGCACUGGAAAUUGAUCGAGUGCCCCGUGUUGAAAAUUUCCCUCCAACAUUUUUAAAGUUCUUCCCUUACUCAGACGAUAUUCUUACUUCCAAUCAGCAAUCAUAUUGAGGUUUCUACCGUUUCAGAUUGAAGUGUCCAGGGUUUCGACCGGGCUGGUUGUUGUUCAUCGCUAGGUUGGAGGUUCAGGUUCGUCGCUAGGUUGGAGGUUUUCUGCAAAGCCAUUUGAGCGGGGAAGUUUAGCUGCUAGUGGUGGGACUCCGGGGAGGUUCGACGGCUUAAGAUAACUUUAAGUGAGCAUAGGAGCUGGUUGUACGGGUGCCACGAUGCUGCCGGUGAGUGGGAGCUAUACACAGUGGUGGAUUUUCGCAGCUGCGAUUAUUUGUACGUGUGCUUCGGUGCUUGCUCACGCAAAUCUGUCCACUCCAGCGACCUAAAGCUCUCUCGAGCGCUGCCCCCUAGCCAACCCCUCUGACGCUGCAACCUACCAGCUGUGACACUCUGAAGGGGAUACCUGCAGUGGUGCUGGCUCUGCCCCCACGAUGGCAGGUUAAGGUACAGGUAAAGAGAAAGCCCGAUGUAGACUUGUUCCUCCUAUGUUAAGGAGGGAUAAUGGUAAUUGCUGCAGUUCAUUAGAGCAACCCUAUGAGGACUUGAUUCCAUAGGGUCAUUCCAACUCAAGUGGAACACAUCAAGAAGAAAGAGUUGAAAAUGGACCAAUUUUACAAGGAGCUAAUAUAGGAGGGUCGAACCCUAGCAUAACAAGGGGCCGAAAUGAAAGUGAAGAAAUGGUUCAGAUUAAUCGAGCAAUUCCACAAGGAUUACUUUGUGGUUAGUCAUGAGAUCCCUCUAAAAUGGAAGUUAAGAGAAGAAGCUAGUCUCGUUGAACCAGAUACAUCGGAGAUGAAAUAGUACAAGUUCAAUUAUUACUAUUUCUUUGAGAUGAGAGUUUUGUAUUAGAAGUGAAGGCACCACCUCCACAAUGAGUACUCCAAGUGGGAUAUUGAUGAAGAAGGCUUGCAACAUGUUCCUGUGGGGCUAUCAUUAGAUUACUAGAGGGCUAUGUUAGAUGUCUAUAGGAAUGAAGAUUUUUUGGUAGUACCUAUCAUUAUCGCAAUGAAUAAUUUCUUAUUUUUUCCUUAAUUAAAUAACUUAUUUACUAUGCCCAUAUAUUAUAGGCUAUGAGCGUGAAAAAAAUACAGAAAAUUGAGGACAUCAAAAGAUUAUAGCAUCAAUUGGUCCCAUUCCAUUUUCUCAAGUCGAAUAUAAUAUUGUAAAUUUGAAUGUAUAAGUAAUAAAUAAUUAUAAAUAAGUAAUUUAAUGUUAUAUUAUUAUGUAGUUGUGACAACAUGUUCAUUGUCAUAGAUCAAUGAGGAGUUAGGUCAAA